rnacentral:rRNA from 1 species
GGGAGUAAUGUCUGGGAAACUGCCUGAUGGAGGGGGAUAACUACUGGAAACGGUAGCUAAUACCGCAUAACGUCGCAAGACCAAAGAGGGGGACCUUGGGCCUCUUGCCAUCGGAUGUGCCCAGAUGGGAUUAGCUAGUAGGUGGGGUAAAGGCUCACCUAGGCGACGAUCCCUAGCUGGUCUGAGAGGAUGACCAGCCACACUGGAACUGAGACACGGUCCAG